CCACUAUCUAUGCUACUCUGGGGUGACUGUUCCCACCAUGUCCACCUCCUUGGUAUGUUUCUGCUAUUUUGAUAUUAUUUUGUUCAUCAAAUGUUACUUAAUCGCUUGUUCAAUGUCUAUCUUCCUUACAGAACUUCAAGCACUAUGAAGGCAUCUCUCUGAUUACUGAAGACUUUGAACCUCCUUUCACUGGCUCAUUGGCCAUUGAGGCGCCUCCGGAGGAUGCACCAGGCCGACUGACGACUGACGCAUGCAGACUUCCUUGGUGUGAAUCUUCCCUUUCUUCUCCAGGUGUAAAUGCUGAGAGCUCAGGCCUGAGCUUCAGGACACUGGACACAGCUCGCUUCUCUAAAGAUGUUUUACCCUGUUUGUUCCUCCAUUUGGGAUCCUUAGGAUUUUAAGAGAUGAGACUCCAAAAGCCAGAGGUGCAAUGACGCUCAUCCAAGGUCACAGAGCUGCUCACUGGCAAUGCCAGACUCAGAACCCAGCAAAGUCUUUUCAAGAAACAUUUUUCG
ensembl:lncRNA